AUUCAAUUUGUAUCACAUUUGGUCCUUGACUAUUAACAUUUUCAAAUUAAGUGCAUGACUAUUCAACUUGUAUCAUAUUUGGUCCUGCCGUUAAAUUUUUCGGCGAAGUAAUCGGGG